AUUGAACGCUGGCGGCAUGCUUUACACAUGCAAGUCGAACGGUAACAGGCCGCAAGGUGCUGACGAGUGGCGAACGGGUGAGUAAUGCAUCGGAACGUGCCCAGUCGUGGGGGAUAACUACUCGAAAGAGUAGCUAAUACCGCAUACGAUCUAUGGAUGAAAGCGGGGGACCGUAAGGUCUCGCGCGAUUGGAGCGGCCGAUGUCAGAUUAGGUAGUUGGUGGGGUAAAGGCUCACCAAGCCAACGAUCUGUAGCUGGUCUGAGAGGACGACCAGCCACACUGGGACUGAGACACGGCCCAGACUCCUACGGGAGGCAGCAGUGGGGAAUUUUGGACAAUGGGCGCAAGCCUGAUCCAGCAAUGCCACGUGCAGGAAGAAGGCCUUCGGGUUGUAAACUGCUUUUGUACGGAACGAAACGGCUCUGGUUAAUACCCGGGGCUAAUGACGGUACCGUAAGAAUAAGCACCGGCUAACUACGUG
rnacentral:rRNA from 1 species